AGAAUGAACGCUGGCGGCGUGCUUAACACAUGCAAGUCGAGCGAGGCCAGGGGGGCAACUCCCUGAGUCGAGCGGCGGACGGGUGAGUAACACGUGGGUAACCUACCCGGAAGUGGGGAAUACCUCGGGGAAACUCGAGCUAAUACCGCAUAACAUCUUUGGAACGAAAGUUCUGACGAUCAAAGCGGGGUCGCAAGAUCUCGCGCUACCGGAUGGGCCCGCGCCCGAUUAGCUAGUUGGUGAGGUAAUGGCUCACCAAGGCGACGAUC
rnacentral:rRNA from 1 species